rnacentral:misc_RNA from 1 species
AUUUUUUUUUCCUCUCAUUAAAUACCAAAUGGGGAAAUUUUCAGUACAAUCAUAAUGCUCUUCUAAUCACAUGAUAGCCAAUACUAACAAGUCAACUGAAAUUCACGAUUUCUUAAACAAAAACAAAAACUUACAAUCCAAGAUGGCAUGACAUUUUUAAUAAUUUGCUGAUAAUUUAUUUUUCAGUUUCAACUAAAAAUAUAACAGCAAGUAAAAUGGUAAAAAAAAUGGUAAAUCUUUGUUAUCUCAGCACUAGUACAAAUGUAUGACUCUAAAUUCUUUCUGACCUAUCAUUUGGCCCUUCAACCGAAGAAAUCACUACUUUUAAUGAUAUACUCAUUAAUCCUUGUUCCAAUGCUUCUCUACAACAACUUCAUCAAUUCUCCAUUAUUCCGUCCUGUUGCCACCUUAACCUUUUCUACGGUAAGGGCUUUUCAAUUGAAUACUGAUUCGAAGUUCACAAUUUGGAAGACAAAUCAAUAUGCUCAAAAUACUUGUCUGAUAUUGAUGUUGAUUCUCGAAGUUCUAAUAUACUCCAAGAAAUCAUUUUCUUGUGAGAGAUGCAGCUCAAGUGGUGUGAUUUCAGCAUUUUCUUCGUCUGUGAAGAUCCGAGGCACACCUACAACAAUUACGGACCAAAGGCAUGAAGUAAUAGUUGGAAACAAGAAAUUUGUGAAGUCACUAGAAUAAAAAUCUAUCCAUAAUAACCCAAAUAAUCAUUUGGCCACAUGGUCAUCUUCCCCUUUUAUCUGUGUUUCAAUAGUUCAGAAAUGAUAUCGCCCACCACAAAGUAGAAAUCUUUUAUGGCUACAAGGUAGUACCAUAGCCAGAAAAAAAAAUUCCCCAUCUGUUAAUGAAGAGCCUCUUGAAAAGGCUUUUGUAUCACAGAUCUGAACAACAUUAUUUCUUUGCAUAGUAGCACACUUCUCUCCUACAUGUACUGGAAAUAAAUAUUUCAUUGAGGCAAUUAGCCAUCACUAACACUUUUAUCUUUAUUGAAAACAAACCACAAAUUCUUCUUCUGGAAUACAUAAAGUACACCAUUAUGGAAGAAUUUUUUAUUGUCAUCAUCUCAAUCUCAUGCACAUUUCUCUACCAGAUUGGUUUUCCAUUUGUUUAACUUAAACAAGAUGAAUAUUCUCAUUAUAAAUUUUGUAAUUUCGAUCUUCAAUAUCAGAAAAAAUUCAGAGUCCAAAAGCUAAAAUUUACCAUGAAAGCACUCUCUUGCUUCUCCAGCCAUGAGCACUACAUCACCACUUCGGAGAAACAUGGCUAAUGGUGGAUCCUCCCUACUUUUUCCUCCCAAAAGGAAAAUAGCCUUGCAUCCCAAACUCAUGCUUACAAUAGGUUUACUCCAAUCAGCUUCCAUGUCAUCCAAGUGACCCCCAAGCAUAUCACCUAAUCCAAAAUAGUUUACUAUUGCAGCUUCCGGGUGGAAUUCUUCUCCCAUAGGCAUUGCGGGAGCAGCCAAUCUUUUAGCCAGCUGACAGAGUGCAUCAGGGAUCUUGUUAUGUGGGAGAGAUGCAUUGUAAUUACGCUUGGACCAGUCAAAUUGCAAGCCAAGGGUACUCCACCGCAGCUUUCGUAAUAAUGCUGAGGCUGAAAUGGAUUUACAUGUCUUUCCUCUUGAUGAAACAACAUGCUCCUCACAAAAUUUCCAUUUAUAAGAAUGUUCAUUGCUGACACAAGCAUUAGAUCCAGAAUCUAAACUUGUAUGUGUAUUCUCAUCCUCUACAAGUACUUUCCUCUCCUUUGCAGCAAUAAAUAAGUCAUGUAUAGGCCCAUACAUAGCAUUGUGAUUUGUUCUGUUAGGAGGCUGUGGGAAACUCGUCAAGCCCUCUUUUAUCCAUCGGCAUUGUUCCUCAAUGCCCAAUGCUCCAGGAAUGAAAGAAAAACCGGGGCAAUUUUGCAAGCGGAAGACGGGACGGUCAAAACCGCAUUGAAACGCGACAAUUCCAGGAGGAAGAUCACCGUUCUGGUCGUAAGAUUCCGAAAUUGUCUUGAAAUCUAAAACCUCAGAUAAAUCCACUUGUUUUGGUCGCUUUUUCUUUUUGGAGGAUUUGGAAUCCUGAUCGUAGUAAAGUUUGUACUUCUUCUCUGUUCUCCGGAAUGCUGUUCGCUCCGAUGCCACUUCAUCGGUGACUUUGUCGGAGCCGUACAUUUCUGUGAGUCGUGCUACGGAGGGGGGAAUCGCUCGCUCUCUCGAUUUUCAAACUUAGGGUUUUUAAUUAUUCCAUAGCAGGUGAUCCUAGUUUUUCCUUUGAAAAAAAAAAAAAUUCCUAGUUUCACUGCGUCUUGGCUGCGUUUUGAAGUGUCCUUUCUUUUUUUUCCUUUGAAA